rnacentral:lncRNA from 1 species
AAGCUUGUCUUGGAAGUUGCUGGCCAGAUGGGGUGUUUGGAUGUUCUAGCAGCUGCUGUGGUAUCCAGUGAGAUUGUGAGACCCAGUCUGAAAACCAAGGGGAUGAAGAUCUCUCUUUUCUUCUGUUUCCUCCUAGCUACAAGGUGUUUCCUUGUAGCAUAAUGGGUAAUCAAUCACCUGUAUGGAACUCCGGAAGCCAAACUUCAACUAAGACUAAAGAAGGAGGCCUCCAUGCUCAGUACCAGACACUGAGAAACCAGGAGUACACUUUUGUAUUUGUGGUUAAACUGGAUUCAUGUAUUCUCCGAGUGGAUAUUUUUAGAUUUGGAGUUGUCUUUGAAAAGAAUAGAAAUGAGGUAAUGUUUAGUAUGACAGUGAUGCUGAAAAAAACUCAGUGCUGGGAAUGAACUUUCAACUCCCCUUCCUGGAAGACACAUAUAACAGUGCACAGAACACAUAAUAAAUAAUUCUAUUGGCCCAUACCUCUGUCUAUGCUGUCAAGAAAGGAAGAAUGGAAACAGGCCAAAAGGAUGGAUACACAGAAAUGUCCCAAGU